rnacentral:rRNA from 1 species
UCAGCCCUAAACACAAAUAAUUUCAAAAACAAAAUUAUUCGCCAGAGUACUACCGGCAAUAGCCUAAAACUCAAAGGACUUGGCGGUGCUUUAUACCCUUCUAGAGGAGCCUGUUCUAUAAUCGAUAAACCCCGAUAGACCUCACCAAUUCUUGCCAAUACAGUCUAUAUACCGCCAUCUUCAGCAAACCCUAAAAAGGAACAAAAGUAAGCGCAAUCAUAACACAUAAAAACGUUAGGUCAAGGUGUAACCUAUGAAAUGGGAAGAAAUGGGCUACAUUUUCUAUUUCAAGAAAACCAUAUACGAAAGUUAUUAUGAAACUAAUAACCAAAGGAGGAUUUAGUAGUAAACUAAGAAUAGAGUGCUUAGUUGAAUUAGGCCAUGAAGCACGC